AGCAGCCGCGGUAAUUCCAGCUCCAAUAGCGUAUAUUAAAGUUGUUGCAGUUAAAAAGCUCGUAGUUGAAUUUCGGGAUUGGCGCAUCGGUCGUGCCUUACGGGGUAUGAACUGGUGCAGUCAAUUUCUCACCUUCUGGAGAACCGCGAUGUCCUUAAUUGGGUGCCGCGGGGAACCAGGACCUUUACUUUGAAAAAAUUAGAGUGUUUAAAGCAGGCAUUUUUGCUUGAAUACACUAGCAUGGAAUAAUAAAAUAGGACGGCAUGGUUCUAUUUUGUUGGUUUCUAGGACCACCGUAAUGAUUAAUAGGGAUAGUUGGGGGCAUUAGUAUUCAAUUGUCAGAGGUGAAAUUCUUGGAUUUAUUGAAGACUAACUACUGCGAAAGCAUUUGCCAAGGAUGUUUUCAUUAAUCAAGAACGAAAGUUAGGGGAUCGAAGACGAUCAGAUACCGUCGUAGUCUUAACCAUAAACUAUGCCGACUAGGGAUCGGAUAAUGUUAAUUUUUUAAUGACUCAUUCGG
rnacentral:rRNA from 1 species